rnacentral:sRNA from 1 species
UUUUUGGCGCUACAGUUGCUGCUGGAGGAUGUGGUCCGGCUGCGGGGGUCCUCGCGGCGCACCAAGGCGAGACGCUCUGGUGACAAGUAGCGGCGGACACUGCUAAAAGAGAGCACACAGGUCUUGGAGAGCCUGGGGGUCCCGGCCUUGUGCUUUACCUGCGCCCGAAGGUCGCCUCCUUCUUGGGAGAGGAUGGGGACGUGGCAUAGCCACCCACGCGCCGCGGGGGUCCCGAGCCAUUAAGGGGCGUCCUGGUGGGAAGGCCUUUCAAGAGCUGACACACUGGAGGGAUGGGGUUAGGGGACAGAAGAGGGUGAGUAUGAGGACCAGGCCCCGGUCCUCCCCAUCCCACCCCUCCAGUCUAACGGGGAUACCCGAGGCAGUGGUGCCUAAGCGCGGAGGCGCCCGGCCCUUGGGGGUGCCCCGCGCGCGUAGCGCUGCUCCCUGUUCUUCGCACGCCCGCAGGCGACGCAGAGCAUCCGCCAGCGCCGCCUUUAGGACCGCCAGCUCGUCUUCCUGUAACUGCAGCCGCUGCUCCAGCGCCGACACGCGGUCGUCCACUUCCAUACCGCUCGUGCCCGACAAAUUGUCAUCUGGA